CCCACCUUCAUUUAAUGCACAGGUCAAAGGAACCAGGGCACGGACUGGUGUUCAGAUGGAGGUCCUCCAGCACCCUUACUGGCUAGCCCAGCCAGAGGAGACGUCUUCCUUCUAUGGGGCUCGGAGGACUUGGAAUCCAAGGACUCUCCUCCC
rnacentral:lncRNA from 1 species